rnacentral:rRNA from 1 species
ACUCCGUACGGGAGGCAGCAGGUGGGGAAUAUUGCACAAGUGGGCGCAAGCCUGAUGCAGCCAUGCCGCGUGUGUGAAGAAGGCCCUUCGGGUUGUAAAGCACUUUCAGUCGUGAGGAAGGUAGUGUAGUUAAUAGCUGCAUUAUUUGUACGUUAGCGACAGAAGAAGCACCGGCUAACUCCGUGCCAGCAGCCGCGGUAAUACGGAGGGGUGCGAGCGUUAAUCGGAAUUACUGGGCGUAAAGCGCAUGCAGGUGGUUUGUUUAAGUCAGAUGUGAAAGCCCGGGGCUCAACCUCGGAAUAGCAUUUGAAACUGGCAGACUAGAGUACUGUAGAGGGGGGUAGAAAGUUU